GCUUGUGGAUGAACAAAGGAAGUGGUUUCUUAAGAUGGAAUUUACUCCUGGUGAAAAUGCUGUGAA
rnacentral:pre_miRNA from 5 species